AAGUCGUAACAAGGUUUCCGUAGGUGAACCUGCGGAAGGAUCAUUAAUGAAUGAAUGUAGAGUCGGUUGUAGCUGACCUCCUAGAGGUAUGUGCACGCCUUCUCUUUCAUCCACACACCCCUGUGCACUCGUGAGACAGAGGCAUUUGUUUUCCUUUAAUUAGGGAACGGGCCUCUGUCUACAUCACAUAAAAUCUAAUUUAUUUAAAACUGAAUGUAAUUGAUGUAACGCAUCUAAUACAAAGUUUCAACAACGGAUCUCUUGGCUCUC
rnacentral:misc_RNA from 1 species